rnacentral:snRNA from 1 species
AUUGCUUCUUGGCCUUUUGGAUAAGAUCAAAUGUAGUAUCUGUUCUUAUCAGUCUCAUAUCUGAUAUGUCCUUUAUCCAAGGACAAUAUAUAUAUAUAUUUUUUUUAAACAUUUAUUUAUUAUUAUAUGUAAGUACACUAUAGCUGUCUUCAGACACACCAGAAGAAGGUGUCAGAUCUC